rnacentral:lncRNA from 1 species
GUCAUACCUUGGUACUNGUCGCUAAUUGGUUUCCNGGAGAUGUGAUGAGUACCAAAAAGAAUGAGUACCAAACAAAUUUUUUCCCCAUUAGGAAUAAUGUAAAUAAAUUUAAUGUAUUCCCAAACCAAAGACAAUGCACAUUUUUAAGGCAACAUGUAAAAAGAUAGGGCUGCAUAUCAUUACUUUACAUGAGAAAUAAACCUAAAAAUUAAUAAAUACCUGAACUGUACUUGGAUUAAAUACACGAAAUGACUGCAGAAGCCAUGAUAAGACCACAAGGGGAUGGGAACAGGGCAAGAACUACUGCGUGACUAACAUGUGACCCUUGUUACGUCUGGAAAGGGUAGUGAGUCACGAGGAAACAAGUCCAAGGAAUAAAUCAGAAUUCAGUGUCAACAGGAGAAGAGACACCCAAGGGUGCAAUGAUCAGGAUUAAAGCGAGGCAAGGAAACAUAUGGCUGUGAGCUCAGGGUCCUUCCCUGCCUCAGAGUUGAAACUUCUCAAGAGAUUUCAUCCAGUGCAGAACAUGGAGUUAGGAGCAUCAAUUUCGGGGGGGGGGGGAGUUAAACUGAAAUUCAUUGAUUCAAAAUGUAGUUCUGGUUUUAAGAGCUGUAGAAAAAAAAUUACUGCCUUCAGGUUGGAGAGAGAGGCAGGGAGCCCAGGGCAGGUGAAGGUUUAAGGUUUUGCCUUUGUCUUCUGCAUGAGAUGCCCAGAAGCAACUGGUGGGCCACUGGGUGAGACGGGAUGAUGGACUAGAAGGGCUGUGGCCUGAUCCAGCAGGGCUCCUGUUAUGUUCUUAUUCUGAGAACCCAGCAUAGAAAGAACAUCUUAGUCAGUUAUGUACUACAGCUUCUGGAUUGAGUUUACAUGGACACAGUCUUAGGCCAGGAGACGCAGUAUAGCAGAAGGUGCUUUCUCAAGCAGUGGCAGUUGCCUCUGAUGGAAAGUGGAGAUGAGGUCUGACAUUAGAUGGAACCAUCUUCACAUCCGCCAGCUAACAUCUGUNUCGGGCGCACGCAUUCAUUCUGGCCUUCAUGGGAGCUGCCCUAUAGCGGUAAGGGUUUGUGGGAGAUUUUCUAGCUGACUUUGGCCCAGUUCUGAAAUGGAGAUUGUAGGGCAACAAGAGGGCAGAUUUUGGAAAAGCCAGGCUGUGGUGAUGAAUUGACUUACUAUUGUAUGUGAUCUCUUGGUGGUGGCCUUUCUACUUCUUGGGAAAGGAUUUUUGAGGAGAUGGAAUGCACCGGCGGCUACUUAACCCCUGUGUCUUUCCUGCUUCUGGGCACGGAAUCCACUCUUGGAAGAGCUGCUCCUGGUACANCCAUGGACUGUAAUUUAGCUGUCCACAGCUAGUAGCAUUCAGGGGUGUCUGCAGAUGUUCCCGAACAUGGGGACCUCCGCAAAGUGCAUCCGCACUUUGCUAGUGAGCNUCUGGAUUGACCAGUUCGAACUCAAAUUGAAUCAACUCUGACUGGUUCGAAUUGAACUGAACCACAGGGGUGUUUGCAUGAACAGGCCGAACAGCCCUGUUUGCUUUGAACAGGUUCGAAUGCAAUCAAGGGUUUUUUCACAGACAAUUUUAGUGUAAAUUUUAAAAAUGAAUGAAUGUGUACCUGUCCGAUGUUCAAAAUUGAACCUGGUCGAGCCAGUUUGACCCAAUUUGAGUUCAAACCAGAUUCAGCAUAAUUUGGUUUGAUUCGAGCCGAACUGAACUGAACCGAACCACAGUUUUUAUGUUCAUCCACAUCUCUUGUUUUUAAUAAGAAAAUGUGAAAUGUUCUCAUCUGUAUGUUUGUUUGUUUUUUAUUCUGCUUGGUAUUUGCUGAUUUUUUUCUUUUGUUGACCGGCCAACGGCUGUAAUAAAAAGUCCUCCUCCUCCUUCUACUAGUUGGAA